AGUAGAUAAAUAAUUCAACAUCGAGGUCACAAUCUUUUUCUUCUAUGAGAACUUAAAGAAAAAAUUGUGCUGUUAUCCCUACGGUAGCUUGUUAAAUUCCCAGUUUGGGGAUAGAGUGGAGGUGAGAAAAAAGAUAUAGUUUUUUACCGCCCCAGUUCAACAAAAGUGAAGUUCGAUAGGGUCUUGUCGUCCUUCUCUUUUAUACAAGUUUUUUUACUUGAGUGAAAAGUUAAAAUAAUUUAGGUGAUAAAGAAAUUUAUAUGUCAAACCUUUCAUUCUAGCCUUCAAUUAAAAGGCAAAUGAUUAUGCUACCUUAGCACAAAAAUAUUGCGGCUAUUUAAGAGAUCAUUGAGCAGGUUCUACUGAAUAUAAAAUCAUUCAGAAAUGUUUUUGAUAAACAGACAAUAAAAUAAGGGCCGAGUUCAUAAACCUAAAGUUAGUCUGUUCCUUUGGCGGUGGGUUAAGAUAUAGGGUGGUGGUUGGUAUUUUACUAAUAAAGUCAUUGUUGGGUGGGUUUAAAGGAGAAGGCUUCUUUUAAGAAAAUUUGUAGGAUAAAAAGAUAAAGUUUUUAAACUGAAAGACACUAUUAAUCCUUAACUUGAGAGAAUUUUAGAAGCGAAUAAUUAGAAAAAAAGAAUGUCCCUUUUAAAAUUUUAGUAUUAUUACUUUUAAAGAUAACCAGAUAUCAUAGAAUGCGAGUGGAAUUUCAUCUCUAUUUCCCCUUUGAAAAACUUUAUGAAACAAGGUUGGCAAGGGAAAAUAGAUCAUUUCAAUUUCGGGAACAUUUAUUAAAAAGUUAUAGUUGAAUUUCCCUGAUACAAAAGGUACAUCAAUUUUCUAUUGAACAAUUUUAGGGUCCCUUUCGGUUAAGAAAUAAAAAGAUAAAAAGAAACAGUAUGGAAUAUUAUUUUAGACAAAAUUUUAAGUAGGUGGGUCU
rnacentral:rRNA from 1 species